UGGGGAAUAUUGCACAAUGGGCGCAAGCCUGAUGCAGCCAUGCCGCGUGUGUGAAGAAGGCCUUCGGGUUGUAAAGCACUUUCAGCGAGGAGGAAGGUGGUGAGCUUAAUACGCUCAUCAAUUGACGUUACUCGCAGAAGAAGCACCGGCUAACUCCGUGCCAGCAGCCGCGGUAAUACGGAGGGUGCAAGCGUUAAUCGGAAUUACUGGGCGUAAAGCGCACGCAGGCGGUUUGUUAAGUCAGAUGUGAAAUCCCCAGGCUCAACCUGGGAACUGCAUUUGAAACUGGCAAGCUAGAGUCUCGUAGAGGGGGGUAGAAUUCCAGGUGUAGCGGUGAAAUGCGUAGAGAUCUGGAGGAAUACCGGUGGCGAAGGCGGCCCCCCUGGACGAAGACUGACGCUCAGGUGCGAAAGCGUGGGGCAGCAAACAGGAUUAGAUACCCUGGUAGUCCACGCUGUAAACGAUGUCGAUUUUGGAGGUUGUGCCCCUUGAGGCGUGGCUUCCGGAGCUAACGCGUUAAAGUCGACCGCCUGGGGAGU
rnacentral:rRNA from 1 species